UUCGAAACUUCAAUAACAUUUUUUAUAAAAGUUCUUGAAACGGAAAUAUCACUAAAAUUGAAGAAAGCUGCUGUUAAGAAAAAGACAAAAUAAAAAGUCUUUGCUUCGAAGAAAGUAAUGUUCGAGCUUAAUGUUGUUGUUGUAGCAGCAUAAACAAGCCUCAUACCGACUAUCGUGGGAAAGGGUCGAACUAAUUAUUUGCGGCAGUGUUAUUUUUUAUUAGAUAGCGACAAAAAAAAUUCCGGCAAAAUCAAACAUCAACAAAAUAUAGAUUACCUGAACGUGACUAGUAUCAAGCUUAAAAUGAAAAACUUCAUUCGCAUUAUUCAGCAUUACCUCCAGAGUACAAAGUGCUACUACAUAAAAAGGUGCUAAAAUCGAAAUGGCCAUAUGAUACAGAAAUGUGGGCACUGCUACACCUUCAAAUAACGAAGAACUUCCGAGAGUGCAAUCUAAAGCCUUGCGGAUAAUAUAAAGAACGCUAACAUUCACAGAAACAUUUGCAUACCUCGUGUAGCCGAUGAGACAGUACGGCUGAACAAAAAAUAUAUACAAAAGCUAGAAUACAUCACAAUAAACUAGCCCGAAAUCUACUUCUAAAAGAGAAAAAGUCUGCACUAUAUCACUAAUCUCAGGUCACACGAGGGUCCGUACACGAAACCAACGGAAUCUCGCCCAUUCCGGCUUUCAGUACGUGCUCAUCGUCAUGAGAGAGACCUUUUCGGCUCCCAGCUACGAAAAAUCGGAGGCUGGAAACUCGACUUUUUCAGCUCCCUCCAUUCAUUCUCUUUCAUCACAUUUACAUUCGAUUUAAUCAUAUAUGCUCAUAAGCACAAACUUAUCGUUAGUUUCUUAUACAAGAAAGUUUCAUUAAAUAAAGACAAAAAAAAACUUGAGUCAGUUAUCGAUUGGACUUUAAAGAUGGAUUUGAUUUGAAAAAAAAAAAAAUGGAGAGUAUUGGACAAAAUGAAGUUUGAUGCUCCAGAUCUUACCCUUACAACUACACUUUUCUGUAACUUUUUAAAAUAUAACGUGCUAUGCAAAAUAACUUCAGAUUAUCAACAACGGAGCGAAACUUUUGCACCCAAUGCCGUAUUUACAGAAAAUUAGGAAGCAUCUCCCACAAAUCAGAAAAACACUGUUCAACCGAUUUAUAUUGAU